rnacentral:rRNA from 1 species
CGCGCCUAAACUCAAAGAUUAAUCGCCUAAGGAUGAGUCUGCGGACUAUCAGGUUGUAGUCAGGGUAAAGACCUGACUAGCCUACGACGGAUACGGGUUGUGAGAGCAAUAACCCGGAGAUGAUAUCUGAGACACGAUAUCGGGCCCUACGGGGCGCAGCAGGCGCGAAACCUUCACGCUGUGCGAAAGCGCGAUGAGGGAAUCCCAAGUGCUUGCUCUUAGGAGUAAGCUGUUUUCCUGUUUAAAUUGCAGGAAGAGGAAGGGCUGGGUAAGACGGGUGCCAGCCGCCGCGGUAAUACCUGCAGCUCAAGUGGUGACCGCUAUUAUUGGGCCUAAAACGUCCGUAGCCGGCUGAGUAAAUGCCUGGGUAAAUCGUGUCGCUUAACGAUACGAACUCCGGGUAGACUGCUUGGCUUGAGACUGGGAGAAGCUAGAGGUACUCCUGGGGUAGAGGUGACAUUCUGUAAUCCUGGGGGGA